AAUUCUCACAAUGUCCAGCAUUCCAUAAAAAAUGACCAGGCAUGCACACGUGCCCCAAACCACAGCCAUCCAUCAACAGCAAUGACAGAAGCAGUCAGUAGAAAUAAACACAGCAACAACUGAGAUGACGGGACUGGUGGGUAAGAACAUUCCAAGUGCUGUGACAGAGGGGAUCCGCAUGAGCACAAAGGGGAGAGAACAUAAAAACAAUGGCAAGUGAAAUGAAAUACUUAAAAAUGGCCUCUCGAGAUAACAAGUACAUCUCAAGGGAAAACUUCAAUGCGAAGACCGGAUUAGACACUGCAAACUAUAUAGCUGGGACAUGCUUCGCUCUCUCCUGUUUAAAACUCGUUCUAUCUAGUUCUACCCACAACUACAGGCGCACUGCACACCGCCAGCCUUCUUGUCCGUCUGCAGUCAGUCAGAAAUCAGCAGACCUUUGUGCACUUAAAGGGCCCAUGGAAAGAAACAGUAUCUCCCGAGUUCUCACCCAUUGAUAAGUGUGUGUCCCUUUUACCUGGAAAGUCAGUUUUGCUAGAACAUAAAAUCAUGGGCUCACGUUUUUUUUUUCCUUGGGUCCCUGAAAUAUGUUACUCGAUUUUCUUCUCUAUAAAGCCUACUUAUCGAAAUUUAAUGGUAAACUCAUUAUCUUUCCCUUGAAACUAUUAGUCUUUUCCAAGAAGCAGAGCUAAAAGCUAGCUGU